UACGUAGGGGGCUAGCGUUGUCCGGAAUCAUUGGGCGUAAAGAGCGUGUAGGCGGCCCGGUAAGUCCGCUGUGAAAGUCGGGGGCUCAACCCUCGAAUGCCGGUGGAUACUGUCGGGCUAGAGUGCGGAAGAGGCGAGUGGAAUUCCUGGUGUAGCGGUGAAAUGCGUAGAUAUCUGGAGGAACACCGGUGGCGAAGGCGGCAUCCUGGACCGGUAUUGACGCUGAUGCGCGAAAGCCAGGGGAGCAAACGGG
rnacentral:rRNA from 1 species